rnacentral:rRNA from 1 species
GACGAACGCUGGCGGCGUGCUUAACACAUGCAAGUCGAGCGGUAAGGCCCUUUCGGGGGUACACGAGCGGCGAACGGGUGAGUAACACGUGGGUGACCUGCCCUCAGCUCUGGGAUAAGCCUGGGAAACCGGGUCUAAUACUGGAUAUGACUCCAUGACGCAUGUUGUGGGGUGGAAAGCCUUGUGCGGCUGAGGAUGGGCCCGCGGCCUAUCAGCUUGUUGGUGGGGUGANGGCCUACCAAGGCGACGACGGGUAGCCGGCCUGAGAGGGCGACCGGCCACACUGGGACUGAGACACGGCCCAGACUCCUACGGGAGGCAGCAGUGGGGAAUAUUGCGCAAUGGGCGAAAGCCUGACGCAGCGACGCCGCGUGUGGGAUGAAGGUCUUCGGAUUGUAAACCACUGUCGCGAGGGACGAAGCUCUGACGGUACCUCGAAAGGAAGCACCGGCUAACUCUGUGCCAGCCGCCGCCGU